rnacentral:tRNA from 1 species
UGGGGUAUGGUGUAAUUGGCAACACGGCUGAUUCUGGUUCAGUUGUUCUAGGUUCGAGUCCCGGGUACCCCAG